AGAGUUUGAUCCUGGCUCAGAGCGAACGCUGGCGGCGCGCUUAACACAUGCAAGUCGAACGCGAAAGUCACCUUCGGGUGGCGAGUAGAGUGGCGGACGGGUGAGUACAACGUGGGUAACCUGCCCCUGAAUCGGGAACAACCCUUCGAAAGGAGGGCUAAUACCGGAUAAUACCCAGAGCACAUAAGUGCUUUGGUUCAAAGGAGGCCUCUGUUUCAUGCUUUCGUUUGGGGAGGGGCUCACGCCCCAUUAGCUAGUUGGUGAGGUAACGGCCCACCAAGGCAACGAUGGGUAGCCGACCUGAGAGGGUGAUCGGCCACACUGGGACUGAGACACGGCCCAGACUCCUACGGGAGGCAGCAGUGAGGAAUUUUCCGCAAUGGGCGAAAGCCUGACGGAGCGACGCCGCGUGCGUGAUUAAGGCCUUCGGGUCGUAAAGCGCUGUCGAAGGGGAAGAACUGUACUUUGGCUAAUACCCAUCGUAUUUGACGGUACCCUUCAAGGAAGCCCCGGCUAACUCCGUGCCAGCAGCCGCGGUAAUACGGGGGGGGCAAGCGUUGCUCGGAAUUAUUGGGCGUAAAGGGCUCGUAGGCGGCCCAUCCAGUUGGUUGUGAAAUCCCUCGGCUUAACCGAGGAACUGCGACCAAUACUAGUGGGCUUGAGUGCGGGAGAGGCGAGCGGAAUUCCAUGUGUAGCGGUGAAAUGCGUAGAUAUAUGGAGGAACACCGGUGGCGAAGGCGGCUCGCUGGACCGCAACUGACGCUGAGGAGCGAAAGCUAGGGGAGCAAACAGGAUUAGAUACCCUGGUAGUCCUAGCUGUAAACGAUGGGUACUUGGUGUGGUGGGUGUCGAUCCCCGCCGUGCCGGAGCUAACGCGUUAAGUACCCCGCCUGGGGAGUACGGUCGCAAGUCUGAAACUCAAAGGAAUUGACGGGGGCCCGCACAAGCGGUGGAGCAUGUGGUUUAAUUCGACAACGCGAAGAACCUUACCUGGGUUUGAACUGCAGUGGACCGCCUUAGAGAUAAGGCUUCCCUUCGGGGCUGCUGUAGAGGUGCUGCAUGGCUGUCGUCAGCUCGUGUCGUGAGAUGUUGGGUUAAGUCCCGCAACGAGCGCAAUCCUUGCCUGUAGUUACCAGCGAGUAAUGUCGGGGACUCUACGGGGACUGCCGGUGAUAAACCGGAGGAAGGUGGGGAUGACGUCAAGUCCUCAUGGCCUUUAUGUCCAGGGCUACACACGUGCUACAAUGGUCGGUACAAUGUGUUGCGAACUCGCGAGAGUGAGCCAAUCACAAAAAACCGAUCUCAGUUCGGAUUGGAGUCUGCAACUCGACUCCAUGAAGUUGGAAUCGCUAGUAAUCGCGUAUCAGCAUGACGCGGUGAAUACGUUCCCGGGCCUUGUACAG
rnacentral:rRNA from 1 species